ensembl:lncRNA
CAUGCAAACAGAAAGUGCAUUUUCUCAUUUCUGAACCGUCACCGCUGACAUAUCAUGCAACAAAGAUGACUGAUCACCAGAUUUCACUAACACAGCUGAAAAUAACAAUCAUGCUGCCAUCUUUCUCUUCACUUUAUCCUCCUGUAAUUUGGCUCCAAAUCUCAGGUAAAAAUUAUCAUUUUUUUACCCCCCCCCCCACACACACACACAAAAUUGUGCAUUAUUCUGUAAAUAUUCAUCAGUGGCAUUUAAUAUAUUUGCUUUCAUCAUGACUUUUAUCUUUUUCAGGGAAAAAAAAAAAUUAAAACAUUGUGGCUGAACUUUUUUGUUUUUGACUUCUGCUGACUGUAUUUAGGUUCCAAAAUUAGUGUUCAUUUGUUAUUAUCUUGAUGAACAAAACAUAUGAAUAUCAUAAUCUUUUGUUGUUUAACUGUAGUUUCAGAGGAGCAGGAGAGAGGAAACAGGAAGCACUGGACGAAUCGUCUGCCGGAGACUCUGCUGAACGCUCUCUCUCAAGCAGACAUCAUGGACUGCAGCACAGAGACGCUGGAGUCGUCAGAGGAGACGCGUCUCACAGAGGAAGAGUGUGAUGAAGAUGAAGAUGACGUGGAGGUGGAUGAAGAGCGUCUGGAGCCUCGAUCAGAUGAUGAAGACACGAACUUUGAGGAGUCUGAGGACGAGCUGCGGGACGAGGUGAGCGACUCCAUGAGGAACCUCCUCACCACACAGGAGCAGGACGAGGAUCGAGCGGCACAGGAAGUGAACAGCAGAUCAGAGGAAGUGAGGGAGGAGACGCAGCCGUCCGCUCAUGAUGAGUCUGCAGUGAACUGAUCCUGUGUGUUUCAUUCUUUUUGAGCUCUUUUGCUUGCUUUCUUUCAUUCUGUGUGAAUCUCUGUUAAAGUGUAAUUUAUUUCUGUGAUGCGCAGCUGUAUUUUCAGCAUCAUUACUCCAGUCUUCAGUGUCACAUGAUCUUCAGAAAUCAUUCUAAUAUGAUGAUUUGCUGCUCAAGAAACAUUUCUGAUUAUUAUCAAUGUUGAACACAGUUGUGCUGCACAAUAUUUUUGUGGAAACUGUGAUACAUUUUAUUUUUCAGGAUUCACAGAUGAACAGAAAGUUCAGAAGAACAGAGUUUAUUUAAAAACAGAAAUCUUUUGUUACGUUUACUGGCACCUUUCAUCAGUUGAAUGCAGACUUGAUUAAUUAAAUUCAGCUUUGCAAGUUACUGAAUGGGUUUGAUUCAUUUCUUUGGAAUUUAUUCACAACUUUUAUUUAUUUAGUGAACAUGUUUGCUGAAUGUCAUUUUGACUUGUAAUAUUGUAAAUAAAAAUGAUUAAAUAUGAUUCUUGUUCA